rnacentral:misc_RNA from 1 species
GCAAACUUGGUCAUUUAGAGGAAGUAAAAGUCGUAACAAGGUAACCGUAGGUGAACCUGCGGUUGGAUCAUUAUUGAGAUGAGGAGGGUGGCAGACAUUCAUUGUCUUGCCACAUACAUCCUUCUACACCUGUGCACUGUGACUGUAUUUGGCAAGUGAGGGGCAGUCCCGAGUUUCACUUGGCACGAUUGUUGCCAGAGGGGGGGAAAGCUUGCCGGUUUCUUCUAUAUACUACUUAUUUUAAUGAUUGUGAGCCUGAAUAAUGCAAAAUACAGAAAUGCAUGAAACAACUUUUGGCAACGGAUCUCUUGGCUCUCGCAUCGAUGAAGAACGCAGC